UCCGUAGGUGAACCUGCGGAAGGAUCAUUACCGAGUGCGGGCCCCUCGGGGCCCAACCUCCCACCCGUGUUGCCCGAACCUAUGUUGCCUCGGCGGGCCCCGCGCCCGCCGACGGCCCCCCUGAACGCUGUCUGAAGUUGCAGUCUGAGACCUAUAACGAAAUUAGUUAAAACUUUCAACAACGGAUCUCUUGGUUCCGGCAUCGAUGAAGAACGCAGCGAAAUGCGAUAACUAAUGUGAAUUGCAGAAUUCAGUGAAUCAUCGAGUCUUUGAACGCACAUUGCGCCCUCUGGUAUUCCGGAGGGCAUGCCUGUCCGAGCGUCAUUGCUGCCCUCAAGCCCGGCUUGUGUGUUGGGCCCCGUCCCCCCCGCCGGGGGGACGGGCCCGAAAGGCAGCGGCGGCACCGCGUCCGGUCCUCGAGCGUAUGGGGCUUCGUCACCCGCUCUAGUAGGCCCGGCCGGCGCCAGCCGACCCCCAACCUUUAAUUAUCUCAGGUUGACCUCGGAUCAGGUAG
rnacentral:rRNA from 1 species